UACGUAGGGUGCAAGCGUUAAUCGGAAUUACUGGGCGUAAAGCGUGCGCAGGCGGUUGUGCAAGACCGAUGUGAAAUCCCCGGGCUUAACCUGGGAAUGGCAUUUGGGACUGCAAGGCUUGAGUGCGGCAGAGGAGACUGGAAUUCCUGGUGUAGCAGUGAAAUGCGUAGAUAUCAGGAGGAACACCGAUGGCGAAGGCAGGUCUCUGGGCUGACACUGACGCUCAUGCACGAAAGCGUGGGGAGCAAACAGG
rnacentral:rRNA from 1 species